rnacentral:snoRNA from 1 species
GCCAGGCGUAAUGAUGAUUACCAAGCAAUGCAUAGUUCAUCUGAUACUACUGAUGAAACUUUCACCUUCAAUAGUCUUUCGCUCCCAUCUGAUGCCACUU